GGGUCUGCUGCUGGAUCCGCUUGAUUGUAGCGCCUUUGGGGCCCACCACCAGCCCCACAACACGGUAAGGCAC